rnacentral:rRNA from 1 species
AUAUCAGUCAUGCAUAGCAUAUCAAUAAGCGGAGGAAAAGAAACUAACAAGGAUUCCCUUAGUAACGGCGAGUGAAGCGGGAAGAGCUCAAAUUUGAAAUCUCCAAGGUUUUACCUUGACGAAUUGUAGUUUAAAGAAGUGUUUUCUGUUGAAGUUUUGGUAAAAGUUCUUUGGAAUAGGACAUCAUAGAGGGUGAGAAUCCCGUAUUUGACCAUUACUUUCAGCUUUGUGAUACACUUUCAAAGAGUCGGAUUGUUUGGGAAUGCAGUCCAAAAUGGGUGGUAAAUUUCAUCUAAAGCUAAAUAUUGGCGAGAGACCGAUAGCGAACAAGUACCGUGAGGGAAAGAUGAGAAGAACUUUGAAAAGAGAGUUAAACAGUACGUGAAAUUGUCAAAAGGGAAGCGUUUGACACCAGUGUUGUUUUCUCGAAAAUCAAUUAAAAAGAGUUGGAUUUUGUGUUGUAUUGACUUUAUCGGCUUUCUUCACUCUUUUCCAGCUUUUUUUAAUGCACUUUUCGUUUAACAAGUCAACAUCAGUUUCUUUUGUUGUAAAAAGGUCAUUGGAAGGUGGCUUUCUCUUCGGAGAAAGUGUUUAUAGCCUUUGACUCAUGCAAUCGGAGAGACUGAGGUCUGCAGCGUAGAUCCUUCGGGGUUAGAUACAUUUGUGCUAAGUUAUAGCUUUUCAUAGACAACUUGUUGACUAUGUUUAGUCUUGUAGCUUACUCGCUUAUGCUAUUUUACCUACGCUUAGGAUGUUGAACUCUAUCACACACAG